rnacentral:rRNA from 1 species
CACGUAGGGGGCAAGCGUUGUCCGGAUUUAUUGGGCGUAAAGAGCGUGUAGGCGGCCAGAAAAGUCCGCUGUGAAAACUCGAGGCUCAACUUCGAGCUGUCGGUGGAAACUUUCUGGCUAGAGUCCGGAAGAGGAGAAUGGAAUUCCUGGUGUAGCGGUGAAAUGCGCAGAUAUCAGGAAGAACACCCGUGGCGAAGGCGGUUCUCUGGGACGGUACUGACGCUGAGACGCGAAAGCGUGGGGAGCGAACAGG